GACGUAGGGGGCAAGCGUUAUUCGGAAUUAUUGGGCGUAAAGCGCUCGUAGGCGGGACUGGAAGUCCGUGUUGAAAGACCUCGGCUCAACUGAGGGACCGGCUCGGAUACUCUAGUUCUUGAGGCAAUCAGAGGGUGAUGGAAUUCCCGGUGUAGCGGUGAAAUGCGUAGAUAUCAUGAGGAAUACGAGAGGCGAAGGCGGCUCCCUGGACAAUUGCUGACACUCAGGCACGAAAGCGUGGGGAGCAAAAGGG
rnacentral:rRNA from 1 species